AAAAAUGAAAGAAGCGAAAAAGCCAGAGCCAUCAAAUGCAUUUCAUUAAUUGACGUGGCACCUGUGGAUGGCUGUGAUCUGAGGAAACACGCUACACAUGAGUCAAUCGCGCAACAUCAAGCAUUAAAUGAAGUAAUUGAAACGGACGUGUGAGAUUAGAUCGUGGCAAAGUGAUCCAAUGGCUACAAGCGUGCAAACAUGGUGGAGGUG
rnacentral:lncRNA from 1 species